rnacentral:ncRNA from 1 species
CCCAGUUAAAGCGGUACGCGAGCUGGGUUCAGAACGUCGUGAGACAGUUCGGUCCCUAUCCGGCGUGGGCGUAGGAUAUUUGAGAGGAGCUGCCCUUAGUACGAGAGGACCGGGGUGGACUGGCCGCUGGUGUAUCUGUUGCACUGCCAAGUGCAUGGCAGAGUAGCCAAGCCGGGACGGGAUAAACGCUGAAGGCAUCUAAGCGUGAAGCCCCCCUCAAGAUGAGAUAUCCCAACGCAAGUUGUAAGACCCCUUGAAGACGACGAGGUAGAUAGGACAGAGGUGGAAGUGCAGUAAUGUAUGGAGCUGACUGUUACUAAUCGGUCGAGGGCAUAACCAA